rnacentral:lncRNA from 1 species
CUGGCCAAGGUCAUAGGCCAAAAUAUAGCCCAUUUUGACAUAAAAACCAUCUCCAAUCGAGGGUUAGGCUAAAAGGCUUGUGGGCGUCACCAUGCCAUAAAUAAAACACCAAGCUAGUGGGCUGGCCAAAAUGAGCCAGCCAGCUAGCUCGAUGAACAGCCCAGCCAGCACCUUCUAGUCCCAUAAACCAGAUAAGUUCCAUGCUUAAUCACAUGUCGAUUGAAAGAAGCAAUAUUGCAGCAAAACCUCUUCUUAAGUGAUGCAUCAACAAUUAAGUAAUUCAUGUGUUCUCUCCGAAGUGAGAGUUCUUCUCUCUAGAGUGAGAAUCUUCCUUACUGAUUCUGUGAGAUCUUCAGUUUUAAGCACUUCUGGUGGCACCGGCUCUAGCUUCGGCUAGGGUCGGUUGUUGGGUCCUCUUUUCCCUCUUCUCCUUCUACUUUCCCUGCAUCUACUGUUGGUUCUUCCAAAUUUCAAUUUUGCCUAUCUAAUUCCCCAACCCUUGUGUGUUUUCCUCUUCCUGGCCCUUCCUUACUUUGAUUUUCAAUCGUGUUCUUUGUGGAGUUCGUGUGUAGAAUUCCAGUGCUCUCACUGGCUUGGGUGUUUCCAACACCACCACCUUCUUCUUGGUGUUUGCCGUUUCCGACAGUGUUGCUCACUGAGCUUCACAUAGGUGGUUGACCUCUUUCGUUUGGGUGCCGAUUACCUCUUACUUAUGGUUGUGCGCAUGAGGCUUCUGAGAAUAAGAUGAUCGAUGGUGGUGGGAGAAUUGGUUGGCUGGAAGCUCCUCAGAUUGGCAAUGGAGAAAGUGGUGGAUGCUUCUCGGAUGUUCUUUCGUUUUUGGGCCUUAUGGGCUUUUUUAUGUUUAUGUUUUUUUAAGUCCAUUUUUGGUUGUUUAUAGAUGUUGUUGGGUUUUUGUUUUGUUGUAAGUUUGUGUACGGUGUGUUUGUUUGAAAUAAAAUUUCUUACUUGACCAAAAAAGAAAAAAGUGAUGCAUCAACUUAAUUAAUUAAAGCAGCUUUAGCAAAAAGUUAAUUAAUUAUCUCUUCUUUUUGUACACAAAAGUAAACAUCUUAAUUGCAUAUUUUGCAAGUAAUCUCAUCCCCGGU